CACAAGACUACCACUCCCGGCGUGCCGGGCGGCUGCCGCGCAACUGUCGAACGACUUCCACCCUAUGGCCGUCCCGUCCCGCCCUGUCCCCCAAUGCCUUCAGGCGCUCCCGCGAGCGGACCCGCGUCCGUUCCGACACCGCCUCUGCCCGCUCCCCGCAAUCCUGCCCGCCGAGUCCCCUGACGUCCCUCCCCCCAUCGCAGUCGCCAUUCCGAGCCGGACCAGGACGCCCCCGGGAUCCGGCCGGCUGCGUGGGGGACGUGCGCGCGCUACCGCCGCGGCCUGGUCGACGCGCCGCCGCUUCCCGCAAGAGACAGAGCAGGCUCUGCCCGUGGCCACUCCAAAAUAAACCUCUGAAGGAGUUGAACAGCUCUGCACAUAAUGGAACUGCCUCAGGGAGCCAGGGAAGAGCCCCAAGAACUGGCCUUUCUUGUGUUGUGAUGGCUGACUGCAGCAGGGAGAUGUGCACCCCGUUCAAUUAGGGUCUGAGGCCAAUGUUAGGUGUAAUCUGGUUCCUCCUGUUAAGAAAUCUGAACACAAAAUACUUAUUUAUGCCAUGACCCUCACAGGGUUAGACAACAAAUACAGUAUUGCUGAUGGAUUACAGUGAUGUGACUGGCAGUGUUUGAGGCCUGAAGACACCUGAAUUGUGAUUAAUAACUGAAAUCAAUAAAAAACUAGGUUUAGAUAACCAAA